rnacentral:rRNA from 1 species
GUGGGGAAUCUUGCGCAAUGGGCGAAAGCCUGACGCAGCCAUGCCGCGUGAAUGAUGAAGGUCUUAGGAUUGUAAAAUUCUUUCACCGGGGACGAUAAUGACGGUACCCGGAGAAGAAGCUCCGGCUAACUUCGUGCCAGCAGCCGCGGUAAUACGAAGGGGGCUAGCGUUGCUCGGAAUUACUGGGCGUAAAGGGCGCGUAGGCGGACAGCUUAGUCAGAGGUGAAAGCCCAGGGCUCAACCUUGGAAUUGCCUUUGAUACUGGUUGUCUUGAGUUUGGGAGAGGUGAGUGGAACUCCGAGUGUAGAGGUGAAAUUCGUAGAUAUUCGGAAGAACACCAGUGGCGAAGGCGACUCACUGGCCCAAUACUGACGCUGAGGCGCGAAAGCGUGGGGAGCAAACAGGAUUAGAAACCCUGGUAGUCC